ensembl:lncRNA
CAGCUAAGCCGUCUCGGUCUCUGUUUCUUUCUCUGUUCCUGUCUCUGUCUCUGUCUCUGCCUUUCCGUUUCUUGUCUCUGCCGUUUCUCUUCACGUCUCUGUCUCUAUCUCUGUUUCUUCCCCUGUCUCUGCCUUUCUGCUCCUGUCAGCCCAUUUCUGGGCUUUGCGCUGCCUCUGUCUCUAUCUCUGCUCUGACUCUGGCUCUAACAGUCCCUAUCUCUGGCCAAGCCAUCUCCAGGACUGAAGAACUUUUGUUUCUCUUUUUCUUCCCAUUUUUGCCUGGGUCAGUCUCUGACCCUGGGUUUCUUUCUCAGCCUCUUUCUAUGUUUUUCUCUCUGUCUCCCUCUCUGCCUCACUGGAUCUAUACUGCCCACCUUGUUCUUAUUUGGGGUUAGAUGAUCAGACUCCCAGAGAUGGGAUUCUCUCCAUAAAAAUCUGUCAUUGAUCAGCAGGUCCAACUGCUCACCCUUCUAAAUGAUGCUUGAACACCUGCACUGAUGGGGAGCUCACUCACCACCAAAGUAGCUUGUUCACUUGGAGGUACCCCUACAGGCUAGGCUCCAUUGUGAGGGGCCCUUGGGAAUAGAGCAGGAGGCCUCAGAGUGUGACACUGAGUAAGCUGGCACUGUGAGAGGCAGGGAGGGCCACCACGCAGUCAGAGACUUGAGGAAGGUAUGGGACCGGCCAGCCAGUCAGGGCCCUUGGGCCCCAGGUACGUUCGUGCUGGGACUGGGACCAAGGAGGUGCGUAGUGAUUUCUGAAGCGCAGAGCCGGCCAGGGAGGGGAAAGCUGCCCCCAAACCCGCCCCCUCCUUCCUGGGGUCCCAGAGAGCUCGCCUUCAAAAGCCUCCUGGCCAGCUGGGUAGCAGCAGCUGCAGGCCAGCAGUCAAGGAUGAUGGGGCGAGGAUCUGGAGGGUCCAGUGUGCAAUGUCCUCCCCUGUGUUUUGAUGAACUCAUCAGGAAAUGCUUACCAUGCAAUUUGUACCAGACCCCCACGGCUACUGGAGCUGACAACAUCUCCAGCUCCUCAGAGACAGUCACACUGAUGACCCAAGUGUCCAAUACGUCAAUGACUUCAAUCCUCAGGAUGUUUCCAGGCCCAUACUUCCUCCUUGGGAUCCCCAUAGGGCUGGCGCUGGUGCUGGCCAUGCUGUAUGGCCUACUGGUGUGCCUGCUGCAGAGACGGCUGGAGAGGGCCCCUGCUGACGAAGAGGCUUGCCCCAGUAGGGAGCUAGCCCUGGGGCUCGACCCCCCCCCCCACCAAGAACCUAAAGCUGUGCAGACCCAGAACAGCAGCUUGGGUGAAGCCCAGGACCAGCAUCCCUUUCAGGAGUGUGAUGGUGCUCCUGAGCCCAGCUCAGCGCCCGGCCACAGCUUCCCGGUGCCCGCCACGGAGCUGGGGGCCAUGGAGCUUGUCACCACCAAGACCACCACCACAGAGCUGUAGUGAAAGAACCCGGCUAGGAAAGGGCUGGCUCCAGCCCCUCCACCUGCUCCACCGGGGCUUGGGAACCCCCUCUUCCUUUCCUUCCAAAGGACUAAGAGCACCCUUCCCCGGGGGGUCUGUGGACCUCCUGCCUCCCAGGUCUACUUCCAGAGAUGGCGUCUCUGUAGGCUCCCACAGAGAUGGCACAGUGUAAUGGGCCUUCAAGCUCUGGGUUCAAAUGUUGCUACUCAAUAGUUGUAGAAUGUUGGCCUUCUCUUUUCCUCCUUAGUUUCCCCCUAGGUAAAAUGAAGGGAGUGUGUGUGCCUAGAUCCUUGUAAAGUUCCUCCCAGUUCCAAGUGGAUGAUCCUUCCUGGGCUGUCUUCCAAGCCCUUCUCCCUGACAACCCUGCCCUAAGCCCUGGCAGUCAGCCAGCCCUGCCGCAAAAAUGCUUUCAAGGGAGGUCUGGGUGCUCCGAAGAUUUCCUCUAUGCCCAAGGAAGGGGACCCAAGGACAAUGGUCAGGGCACCCCCACUUAGGGCCCUUUGACUCUGACCUUUCACCCCACUUUCCUGAUUUACCUUCAUGUUCUAUCUCUGCUGCUCACCUUGGCCCUUUGACCUGGGGAACAGUGGGGUGCAAUGGAAAGGGGGCCUAUUUCUGAGUCUGAAUCCUGGCUCUGCCACUGGUGACCUGGGUGAUCUCUCAUUGCCUCAGUUCCCUCCUUUGUAAAAUGAGCUCUAGGAUUAUGAUCUUUGCUCCCUCUAGUCCGUUCUAUACUUGUUACAUAACAGGGAAUUUGAGUCCCAUGAAUGCCUCGAACUCCCCACAUGACCUUUGGAAAAUUCCCUUCUCUCUCCCUUCAGCUCCCUUCACUGUGACCUUGGUGAUCCCCAAGGUCCAUUUCCAGCUCAAAAUCCUGCAAUGCUAGAAAGUCUUCCCUUCAUUCAUUUCCUGAGGCAAGAUGGCCCCAGGCAGCCCCCAGCCAAAGACAAGUCUGGGAAGCAAUUGUGGUCACCUUGGAAUUGUAAGGAAGCAACAGUUGAGGUCUGUUUCAGGAAGUUCAGCUGGGUUCACCCAUGGUUCCAAUUGUUCUCAGGGAGAGAAAAAAAUGUCAGCCCACUUUUACAAAGUAGCCGAGCGAGUGAGAUGCUUGCGACAAGGUAAUAAGCUAUUUGAGGUUGGUUUCCAAGCGCAGGGAGUUAGGCAGGAAAAGUGGGUCAGGUCCCCAACAAAACCCCUUAACUUGCUUGGAAGCCAGGGAUUCAUGGCUCUGUAGUCUGACACAGAUCUCCCAGAAUCCUUCUCUCAAAAGGACUGUUAUGCAAAGAGUCUCCAAUUAGGGGGGAGUCUCUCUCCUCUCUUUGUCUCUGUCUCUGUCUCUCUGUGUACCUUUCUCUAUUUGUCUCUGUCUGUCUCUCCUCUCUACUUGCAUACAUAUAUACAUGCAUAUUAUAGCUAGAAGAGGCAAACCAAGAAUUUACUAAGAUUCUCAAGGAAGCUAAUCAAUAGCUUUUCUCUAAUAAGUCACAGAUAAAUAGGUAAGAGCUUUUGGCAGCAAAGAUGUCCCGAAGCCCUGGGAUGGGGUGAGGUGGGAUGAGAGUAGAGACUUCUGCACUCCCGUAAUUGAGAAAGAGACGGGCUUCUCCUUUAAACGAAACAAGGAAAAUGAGUGGAUUAAGCCAAAAUCCAUCAGGAUUGAAAGUGCUUAAUUGGUACCUAGCUGUUUGUAUUCCUUUAUAUUUUAUACCUAUCCCGAAUGGUCUCUUCAGGUAGAUGCCAGAUGAACUCCUUCAGCUCCAUCACAGGCAGGUCUAGCAGACGGCGGUGGCCACAACCAGCUCUGGCUUCUGUGAUUCUAUGAUAUCAUACCCUUGCCUACCAAACAGGAAUGUUGAGGAGGGAAAUGCGUAAAUCUUGAAGUGAUGUGUAAAGGGUUCACAGUGUGAAAUGCGAUUCUUUUUAAAUAUGUGCAAUGAGAGUUAUUUGUAGCCAGUUCGCCAUUAGAGUUUGAGACUUCAAUAAAGAGUUUGUUUUUAUUGAAAAAUGCA